rnacentral:lncRNA from 10 species
UUAACGUGAUUCCAAAUCCCUAAGUGAUAAUCUUAUUUAAGGAAAAUACUAUAACACUGAAUACUCUCUGAAUAGUCUCUGAAACAGUAAUGAGAAAUACAAAAAUCAGCUGGGCAUGGUGGUGCACACCUGUAAUCCCAGCUGCUAGGGAGGCUGAGGCAGGAGAAUUGCUUAACUGGGACCCGGGAGGUGGAGGUUGCAGUGAGCCGAGAUUGCACCAGUGCACUCCAGCCGAAAGAAAGACAGAAAGAAAGAGAGAAAGAGAGAGAGAGAAGAGAAAGAUAGAGAGAGAAAGAAAGUAAUGACAGAGAAAAUACUUUUUCGAGUAAAACCUCAGAAAAGAAUAUGAUCCCAAGUAAAAAAAAAAGUAAACUGCGAAAAUAAUAUUUUUUUCCUUUUCUUAUUCAUUUUCCACAGCUUCUUAAUUCUCUUCCAUUAAAUCUUAUUGAGGCAAUUUUAUUUAUGGAUAGUUAUAUCUAGUUUUAUAAGCCUGGCAAAUAUCUUGCCCCAAAGUUACAGAAUAUGUAUCUAGUACUGGAUAAUGCAAAAUUCACUUUGAAACUUUUUAUUAGAAUAUUUGCUUGCCUAAUUAAAGAUGGAAUAGAGCAAUAUUAUAAUAAAUGUGCAUAGCCUGAAUACAAAGGAGCUAAGAGAUAACGGAAUACAUACAUACUUGGCCAAAGAAGACAGACCACAAUUAUAAAUAUAGCCUAGAUAUAUACAAAGCAAAUGGUCAUGCAUUAACAUAUUAAUUGAAGGUGAUGAACUGAAGUUUUAUCAAUUAAGAAAACACUGCAAGCUAUAUUCUGGGCCCAAUUUUAAAAGUAGAAAAAAAAUGGUAUUAUUUUAUGGUUUAUGUUAUUUAUGUUUAUUUUAUGUUAUUUGAUUAUUCCCAGUCCAUAGGCACAUCCUUAAAAUUUCAUAUGAACACUUUGGGGAAACAUUUUAAAGUUUUCAUUUGAACUUACUCCUCGUCCUCAAAUGCCAGCAAACUGUUCCUGGUAUAUAGAAAACAGAUCUUAUCUAAGAAUUCACCGUUUACAUGUGAAAGCCUUUGCUUAGAAUUCCUCCUCCUCUCCUGUCUGCCUGUUGAAAUCCUGUCAUUCUUUAAGGGUCAGACAUUGUGCUUAUAUAUUGUCAGACCACAUCUUCUGAGUCUCUCUUGCAGCCCCUUCCUGGAUUACAACUCUAAGGCAGAGACUGCACCUUAGGUACGGGAGCAUACUGUUGCAUGCUCAACAAUAUUUGAUGAAUUGAAAGUAGGCUUUUAUCAAUUCAUAAACAAAAUCAAUUAUUUUACCAAUUCCAGCUCAUUUCAACAGAUUUCUAUUCCCAAAGUCUAGGGUCCUUUGUCUUUGUUCUGUCAAUCCCUAAAGAAGCAAGAUCAUUUCUGUCUUUUCCUAUGAGCCUGAGAGAGGACAGGCCUCACACAUUCACCAUUCCCAGGUGUGCAGUAGUGUAAAAAUAAUUCACACUGAUUCCAAGGUAUCACUUAUCAAUUGGGAAUUGUAUUGUCAGAGGCGUGUGAACCAGAACAACUCCAUCUUGAACAGGAGCUGGGUAAAAUGAAGCUGAGGCCUACUGGGCUGCAUUCCCAGACAAUUAACGCAUUCUAAGUCACAGCAUGAGAUGGGAGGUCGGCACAAGAUAAAGGUCAUAAAGACCUUGCUGAUAAAACAGGUUGUAAAGAAGCCGGACAAAUCAGACCAAAAGCAAGAUGUCCAUGAGAGUGACCUCUGGUCGUCCUCACUGCUACACUCCCACCAGCCCCAUGACAGUUUACAAAUGCCAUGGCAACAUCAGGAAGUUACCCUAUAUGAUCUAAAAAGGGGAGGCAUGAAUAAUCCACCCCUUGUUUAGCAUAUCAUUAGGAAAUAACCGGCCAGGCGCAGUGGCUCACGCCUGUAAACCCAGCACUUUGGGAGGCCAAGGCAGGCAGAUCACAAGGUCAGGAGAUCCAGACCAUCCUGACCAAUAUGGUGACCCCGUCUCUACUAAAAUACACAAAAAAAAGACAUUAGCCGGGCAUGGUGGCACACACCUGUAGUCCCAGCUACCCGGGAGGCUGAGGCAGGGGAAUAGCUUGAACCUGGGAGGCGGAGGUUGCAGUCAGCCAAGAUCUCGCCACUGCACACCAGCCUGAGUGACAGAACGAGACACCAUCAAAAAAAGAAAGAAAAGAGAAGAGGAAAGAAAAGAAAAGAAAAGAAAGAAAUGGGCAACCAGCAGCCCCUAGGGCUGCUCUGUCUAUGGAGUAGCCGUUCUUUUAUUCCUUUACUUUCUUAAUAAACUUGCUUUCACUGUGCACCAUGGACUCGCCCUGAAUUCUUUCUCGCGCCAGAUCCAAGAGCCCUCCCUUGGGGUCCUGCAACACUAUCACUGUUAAUAAAAUGAUCCAAACUUCAUCACCGUUAACCCAAUUAACCCUAAAGUAGCUGAAGAGUAAAAAGUUACAGGUUCCCAUUACUAAAUUAGAAUCAGUAAAGAAUAAUAAGCACGUAACUGAAUCUAAUUAAUAAAUAAAAUCUCUCCCUUUUCCAUCCCACUAAAUGCCAGUAAUCCCACUGUAAUCCCACCAUACCAUCUAAAAUGUAUGCUUCAAGGCCCAGGGUUAAGGCCCAACUACAUGAAGCCUCCCAGUUUCCUUUGUUUUCUCUGAAACUGGCUGAUACCACCCUUUCCAGAUCUCACACUUUAGUUAGUAGAUCGACUAACAACACAGCAAGAGCCUGUGUUAGUAACUCAAUAAAUACUGAAUUGAACGGCUUCUAAGUUAUCACUUUAUAAGAAUGAAUAUAAUCUUCUUAACAUUAUGACACUGAUAUUAUGUUCUCAUUUUUGACGUUAGGAAAUGGAGGGUCAGAAGAUUAGCUGGUGGUGAUAGAACCACGAUUAGAAUCCUUAUCUGUCCAAUUCAUACUUUCAUACUCUUCCCCCAUAUUCCAGUAUGACCCUGGAAUUUAUUCUGUCAAAUAUUAUUGUUUUCUUUCUGUUUCUUUUUUUUUCUUUUUUUUUUUUGUUUUUGUUGUUUUGUUUUGUUUUGUUUUUUGAGGCAGGCUCUUGUUCUGUUGCCCAGGCUACAGUGCAGUGGUGCAAUCACAGCUCACCGCAACCUCAACCUCCCGAGCCCAAGCAAUCCUCCCACCUCAGCCGUAAGCAGCCGGGACUACAGGCACAUGCCAUCUUGCCUGGCUCAUUUUAAAAAAAAUCUUUUUUGUAGAGAAGCUGUCUUCCUACGUUGCCCAGGCUGGUCUCAAACUCUUGGACUCAAGUGAUAUUCCUGCCUCAGCCUCCCAAAGUGCUGGGAUUCCGGGCGUGUACCACCACACCCAGCGGUCAAGUAUUAUUCCUGAGUGACUUUGUACAUGAGGUUUACCUUCCCAAGAACCAUGUUGGUUCCUGAAGAAUGACCUCCAACACCAGAGACAGAGUUUUCAAAUUGAAAUGGUACUCAAGUUGGUUAAUUUGAACAGAUUGUCUCUUUUGCUAGGUCAUUCUCAAUUAAGUCUUGGUUGAAUAAAUUAAUAACAUUACGACAAACAAGGAUUAACUUCAGACCCUACCCUCUUAAUCCCUGAAAGAACUGGACAUUAUAGCCCUACCCAUAGGAAGACAGUGAUAGAAUUUUCUUUAAAACUAUAUAUAACAUAUUAUAUGAAUUAACAUAAUUAUUUAUUCUUGCUACCAUGCAUUUACAUCAAACCAUUCAUUUCUCAAGGCAUAGAUGCAUCCAAAAUCCUCCUAGAUUGAAACUGUUUUCAUUUUUUAUUGCAAUAAAAUAUGCAUAAAAAAUUUACUAUCUUAACCAUAGUUAAGUAUACACUUUAGUGUUACUAAAUCCAUUCAUAAUGUUGUGCACCAUCACCACCAUCCAUCUCUGUAACUCUUUUCAUCUUGCAGAACUGAAACUCUAAAUUCAUUAAACAGUAACUCCAGUUCCCUCCUUCUUUCUAGCCUCUGGCAAUCACCAUUCUACUUUCUGGCUCUAAGAUUUUGACUCCUCUAAGUAUCUCAUAAAAGUGGAGUCAUAUAGUAUUUGUCUUUAAUGUGGCUGGCUUAUUUCACUUAGCAUAAUGUCCUCAAGGUUCAACCAUGUUGUAGCAUGUGUCUUCAUUUCCCUCCUUUUUAAUGCUGAAUGACAUUUUAUGAUAUGUAUGUAUGUACCACAUUUUGUUUUCAGAUAAAUGACAUGAGGGUUGCUUCUACAUUUUAGUCAUUGUGAAUAGUGCUGCUAUGAACACUGGCAUACAAACAUCUCUUUGAGAUCCUGCUUUCAAUUCUUUUGGGUACAUACACAUAAAUGGAAUUGCUGGAUCAUACAGUAAUUCUAUUUUUAAAUUUUUGAGUUGCCGCCAUACUGUUUGCCACAGUGGCUAUACAGUUUUACACGUCCACGCAGUGCACAAGGCUUCCAAUUUCCCCACAUCCUCCCCAACACUUAUUUUCUGGGGUUUUUUAAAUAGCAGUCAUCCUAAUUUGUGUGAAGUGGUAUCUCACUGUAGUUUUGAUUUGCAUUUCCGUCAUGAUUAGUGAUGCUAAGCAUCUUUUCAUGUGCUUAUUGGCGUAUCUUCUUUGGAAAAAUGUCUACUUAAGUCCUUUGCCCAUUUUAAAAUCAUGUUGCUUUUCUAUUGUUGAGUUCUUAAUUAUAUAUUUUGAUAUUGAUCCAUUAUCAGAUAUAAGGUUUGCAAAUAUCUUCUCCCAUACUCUGGGUUACCUUUUAACUGUUGAUACUGUCUUUUGAUGCACCAAAUUUUUUAAAUUUUCAUAAAGAACAAUUUGUUUAUUUUUUUUCUUUAGCUGCCUGUUCCUUUGGUGUCAUUCCCAAGAUACCACUGACAAAUCCAAUGUCAUGAAGCUUCUGCCCUAUGUUUUCUAGGAGUUUUAUAGUUUGGGGUCUUACAUUUAGGUCUUUGAUCCAUUUUGAGUUGAUUUUUGUAUACAAACUUAGAUAAAGGUCCAACUUCAUUCUUUUGCAUAUGGAUACCCAGUUGUCCUGGCACCAUUUGUUGAAUUGACUGUGCUUUCUCCAUUGAAGGGUCUUGGCACCCCCAUCGAAAAUCAUUUGACCAUAUAGGUGAGGUUUUACUUCUGGACUUUCCCGUUGAUUCCAUUGGUCUAUAUGUCUGUCUUUAUGCCAGUAACACACUGUUUUGGUCACAGUAGCUUCUUAGCAAAUUUUGAAAUCAGCACAUUGAGUCAUCCAGCUAUGUUAUUUUUCAAGAUAACUUUAGCUAUUUGGAGUCCCUCAAGAUUCCAUAUAAAUUUUAGAUUUUUUUUUCCUUUUCUGCAAAAAAACAUCAUUGCGAUUUUGAUAGGGAACGCAUUGAAUCUGUAGAGGCCUUUGGGUAGGUAAUGACAUCUUAACAAUAUUAAAUCUUCCAGUUCACAAACAUGGGAUAUGUUUCCACUUAUUUAUGUUGCCUUUAAUUUCUUUCAGCAAUGUUUUUCUGCUUUUCAUUGUUAAGUUUUUAACCUCCUUGUUAAUUCCUAAGUAUUUUAUUCUUUUGGAUGGAAUUGUUUUUGUAAUUUCCUUUUCAGAUUGUUCACUGUUUGUUUGUGUAUAAAAAUGCAACGGAUUUUUGUGUAUUCACGUUGUGCCCCAAUACUUUGUUUAAUUCAGUUAUUAGCAUUGAUAGUUUUUUGUGGGAUCUUUAGGAUUUUCUAUCUACAAGGUCAUAUCAUCUAUGAACAGAGAUAAUUUUACCUCUUCCUUUCCAAUUUGUGUGCCUUUUAUUUCUUUUUCUUGCCUAAAUGGUCUAGCUAGAACUUCAGUAGUAUGUUGAAUAGAAGUGGUGAAAAGCAGGCAUCCUUAUCUCAUCCUCAAUCUUAAAGGAAAAGCUUUUGGUCUUUCACCAGUAAGAUGUUAGCUAUGGGUUUUUCAUAUAUGGCUUUUACUAUGUUGAAGUAGUUUCUUUUUAUUCCUUAUGUGUUCAGUGAUUUUUGUCAUGAAAGGGUAUUGAAUUUUGUCAAAAUGAUUUUUCUGCUUCGAUUCAGAUGAUCACGUGGGGUUUUUUUCCCCCUACAAUCUGUUUAUAUGAUAUAUUACACUGAUUGAUUUUCACAUUUUGAACCAUUCUUGCAGUCUGGGAAUAAAUGCCAUUUGGUCAUGGUGUAUAAUCCUUUUAAUAUGCUGCUAAAUUUGGUUUGCUAGUAUUCUGUUGAAAAUUUUUACAUCAGUGUUCAUAAGGGAUACUGGUUUGUAGUUUUCUUUUCUCAUAAUAUCUUUGUCUGGCUUUGGUAACAGGGUAAUGUUGGCCUCAUAAUAAAAGCAUUAGGAAGUAUUUCUUCCUCUUCAAUACUUUGGAAAAGUUUGAGAAAGAUUAGUAUCAGCUUCUCUAUAAAUGUUUGGUAGAAUUCACCUGUGAAGCCCUCCAAGUCAGCUUUUCUCUGUUGAGAGAUUAUUGAUUACUGAUUCAAUCUCCUAACUAGGUAUAGGUCCAUUCAGAUUUUCAUAAUUUUUGUCUUUCACAGUUUUUUAUAUUUCCAGAAGUUUGUCCCUUUCAUCUAGGGUAUUCAAUUUGUUGUCAUACAACUCUUCCUAAUGCCCUCCUAUAAUCCUUUUUCAUUCUGUAUGAUUCAUAAUAAUGUCCCUGUUUUCUUUUUUUUUUUUUUUUUCUUUUUUUUGGGGGGGGGACAGAGUCUUGCUCUGUUUCCCAGGCUGGAGUGCAGAGGCACAACCUCGGCUCACUACAGCCUCCGCCUCCCGGGUUCAAGUGAUUCUCCUGCCUCGGCCUCCUGAGCAGCUGGGAUUACAGGUGCCCGCCACCGUGCCCAGCUAAUUUUUGUAUUUUUGGUAAAGACGGGGUUUCACCAUGUUGGCCAGACUGAUCUGAAACUCCUGACCUCAAGUGACCCACCCACCUCGGCCUCCCAAAGUGCUGGGAUUACAGGCAUGAGCCACCACGCCCGGCCCAGUAAUGUCCCCAUUGUCAUUUUUUAUUUUAGCAAUUGGAAUCUUCUUUUUUCUUAGUCCAUCUAUCUACAAGUUUGACAAUUUUGUUAAUCUUUUCAAGAACGCAGCUUUUGGUUUCACUAAUCUUUUUUUUUUUUUUUUUUUUUUUUUAAAGACAGAGUGUUGGUCUUGUCGCCCAGGUGGGAGUGCAGUGGCACGAUCUCGGCUCACUGCAACCUCUGCCUCCCAGGUUCAAGCGAUUCUCCUGCCUCAGCCUCCUGAGUAGCUGGAAUUACUGGUGCCCACUAUCACACCCUGCUAAUUUUUGUAUUUUUAGUAGAGACAGGGUUUCACCAUGUUGGCCAGGCUGGUCUCGAACUCCUGGCCUCGUGGUCCACCGGCCUCCUUAAGUGCUGGGAUUACAGGCGUGAACCACUGCGCCCGGCCACUAAUCUCUCCUAUUGCUUUCCUAUUCUCUAUUUCAGUUAACACUGUUCUAAUCUUUAUUAUUUCCUUCCUUCUGCUAGCUUUGCAUUUAGUUCUUCUUUAUCUAGUUAUUUCACUUUAAAGUUAGGAAACUCACUAAUUUUGGUAUUAACUUCUUUAUCAGAUAUUUUAGAAUUAGACCUAUCGAUCAUGUCAUACUUUCCUCAGAUUCAUAACUGCAUGAUAUAAUAAUCCUGUGUAUUCGAGUCAAAAGACACAGGGACUCUAAAGCAAGUUCUUCAUGCUCUGAAAGCAUAUUAUUCUUUCCUUUUGUCUUUAUGUGUCCUAGAAGUCAUUAGACACAAAACAUGGAGUUUCAAGGUUACUGUUAGAGAACAUAUCGUGAGUCUAAUGGUUAAUUACUUCCAUAUUAUCUAAGUUUUACAAACCUCUGAUGUAUUCUUCCUUUGGUUUUAUUGUUCCAAGCUUCACAUCUGGGCUUCUCACAAUGCCUGAUUUUUAUAGAAAGAACACAGUCAUAUAAUAAAAAACACUGAUGUCAGCACACUGACAUUCAACCCAGUGUUUUAUCUGGGGCUCUGCUUCAGGCCACUGUUGCUGAAUGCUGUGGACUCCAUUCUCCAAGUGCACGUAUUUGUUUUGUGCUUUAAAAUAGCUAAAUUAUUAUAUAUAACUACAACAUAGAACUUUUAAAAAUUCUGUAACUCAGGAUUUUCACAAUUCAGGUUGAGUCCCUCUAUCCAGUCCAAAUUCAUCCAAAUUUUACUGACUAGCCCUCAAACCUGAGAAAUAGAAAUGCCUCCUAACAGACACAGGCCGUCCGAAGGUCAAUCAAAUCCCAUGGGAAUAUGACAAAAAGCACCUUUCUCUGACAAGAGAGAGCCAGUAAUUAAGGUCUCAGCCUUGUUCCCCUCAUCUCUGCUUGGAUCAGAAUUCAGUUUUUCAAAUAAUGCCCUAUAAAUGUUAAGCCAAAAACAUAGGCAACACUCUACCGGGGUCAGUACCAGGACAAAGAACAUCACAUUUUAUGGAAUCUAUCUUUACAAUCGUAUUUUUAUGCAAAAAAACUCAAUGACUACUGUAGCUGGGACACCUCACAGUUGUUCCUGCUACAUUCAUUUUCAUCCUUUUGACUUUUAUAGGCAGAUUUUUUUUGAGAAUUUUUAAAAAUUAUAUAUAAAGACAUUUUUAGGAAAUCUGAGCUGGUGUCCUCCUUUCAUUCCUUAGAACCAGACAAGAAGGCAGGAACAGUGAAGACAAAAUACAAUGCGCAAGAGCAGGGGCAGGCAACUGUUUUCUGUAAAGGGCAGCCUUCACAGGCCAAACCAUCUCUACCGAAACUACUCAGCUCUGCUGCUGUAACAAUAGACAAGACAUGAUACAUACAAGAACGGCAUGGCUCAUUCUGGCACCCAGGCUUAUAGUUUGCCUGCUCCUGGCCAACAACAAAGAUAUGGAGUCUGAUGCCCAAGUUUGAAUACUAACUCUGUUUUUUACUAGCUGUAUUAACACUGGCAAGUUAUUUAAUGUUUCUAGUGGAGUCUGAUGCCCAUGUUUGAAUACUAACUCCGUUUUUUACUAGCUGUAUUAACACUGGCAGGUUAUUUAAUGUCUCUAGUGGAGUCUGAUGCCCAUGUUUGAAUACUAACUCUGUUUUUCACUAGCCGUGUUAACACUGGCAAGUUAUUUAAUGUUUCUAGUGGAGUCUGAUGCCCAUGUUUGAAUACUAACUGUUUUUUCACUAGCCGUAUUAACACUGGCAAGUUAUUUAAUGCCUCUAGUGGAGUCUGAUGCCCAUGUUUGAAUACUAACUCUGUUUUUUACUAGCUGUAUUAACACUGGCAAGUUAUUUAAUGUCUCUAGUGGAGUCUGAUGCCCAUGUUUGAAUACUAACUCUGUUUUUUCACUAGCCGUAUUAACACUGGCAACUGGCAGGUUAUUUAAUGUCUGUAGUGGAGUCUGAUGCCCAUGUUUGAAUACUAACUCUGUUUUUUCACUAGCCGUAUUAACACUGGCAAGUUACUUAAUGUUUCUAGUGGAGUCUGAUGCCCAUGUUUGAAUACUAACUCCGUUUUUUCACUAGCCGUAUUAACACUGGCAGGUUAUUUAAUGUUUCUAGUGGAGUCUGAUGCCCAUGUUUGAAUACUAACUCCGUUUUUUCACUAGCCGUAUUAACACUGGCAGGUUAUUUAAUGUCUCUAGGUCUCAGUUUCCCAUCUGCAAAAUGGGGGUAAUGAAAGUACUAAUCUCAUAUGUCUAAUAUGGAGAUGUACAUAUAAGCCAGUAUGUGUAAAGUGAUUAGCACAUGGUAAAUAAUAUGUUUACUACAUUAAUAUGUGAGCAAAUAUACAUUAAAAAGGUGUUAUUUUGUGAACUUGUAAAUAGUUGAAAUAAUGCAUUCAGCUUAGGCAACCUUGUUUCAAAAAAAAAAAGUGCAAGGUUUCAGAAAAGAAGAUGUACAAAUGACCAAUAAGCCUAUAUAUAAAACGCUCAACAUCAUUUAUCAAGGAAAUGCCAACUAAAACCACAAUAUAACGUCCUUGCACACUGUUACAAUGGCUAAAAUUAAAAAGAGACUACAUCAAAUGCUGGUGAAGGUGCGGAGCAACUGCUGACUGGAAUGCAUCAUCACUUUGGAAAAUAGUUUGGCUGUAUCUUAUUUUAACAUGUAAAAACAAGCAAACACCACCACCACCACCACCAACAACAACAACAAAAAUGCUCUUAUAUGACCCAGCAAUCUCACUACUGGUAUUUAUCCAAGGGAAAUAAACCACAUGUCCACCCAAAGACUCAUACAUGAAUAUUCACAGCAGCUUUAUUCACAAUACCUAAUCAGGGGAGACAACACAGAUGUUCAUCAGCAGGUGAAUGGAUAAACAAAUUGUGUUAUCCCAAUACAGACCACCGCUCAGUAAUAAAGAGGAACAAACUACUGACACAAACGACAUGGAUGAACCUCAGAAUCAUUAUGCUAAGUGAAAAGAGUCAGACCAC